CCCGCUGAACUUAAGCAUAUCAAUAAGGGGAGGAACAGAAACUAACAAGGAUUCCCCUGGUAGCUGCGAAUGAAGCGGGAAAAGCUCAAGUUUGAAAUCUGGUGCGUCGCCCUUCAUACUAGUUGGCUGCUGAAGCUGUGACCUCCGCGUGGCACCGCCUAUUUCUUUGUAGCAGCAAGUCGUGGUAGAUGAUAACACUCCCUGCGAUCACAAACAUGUCCUCUUAUCUGCGCUGCCUUCUCGAAGCGUCUAGUUGGUUAAUACUGCUCCUCAUGAUGGGUGGAUCUCACCUUCUGCUGCUUACUGUAGACAAACCACCAAUAGACAACUAGAGCGAUCAGAAAAAGAUGAGCACUUCGUUGAGAGAAUAGUUCAACACGUCAUAUUGUUGCUAAGAAGACGCUUCUUGACGUCCGCCUCGUCUGCGACUCCUCCUCCUCGCUUCUUCUUGUACUUCUCGCAGGACGGAUCAGCCUCCAUCUUGCCCCACCGAUGAAGACGAGCGGUAUGAGUCACCUUUCCUCGUGUGUGAUAUACUCUAUGCGCGUGUACAGCUCGGGAGAGAGAAGCUCACCGCGCGCCUUUAGGCCUCGGGUUUCGCCCACGACACGUGCUUAGGAUGUUGGCAUAAUGGCUUUAAACGACCCGUCUUGAAACACGG
rnacentral:rRNA from 1 species